UACGUAGGGUGCGAGCGUUGUCCGGAAUUACUGGGCGUAAAGAGCUCGUAGGUGGUUUGUCGCGUUGUUCGUGAAAACCGGGGGCUUAACCCUCGGCGUGCGGGCGAUACGGGCAGACUUGAGUACUGCAGGGGAGACUGGAAUUCCUGGUGUAGCGGUGGAAUGCGCAGAUAUCAGGAGGAACACCGGUGGCGAAGGCGGGUCUCUGGGCCGAAAUUGACGCUGAGGAGCGAAAGCGUGGGGAGCAAACAGG
rnacentral:rRNA from 1 species